UUAUUUUAAGCGCCUGGACACAAUUAUUAUUUAAUUUUUGUGUUGACGAGGUAGAGGCUUAUCGAAAGAUUCGGCGGAUGGCUUCUUGGCAUAUGAUUACUGCCAUAAAUAUUAGUUAAAACCUUGUAGUAAUGCAAGUACACAAAGCUAAUAGGG
rnacentral:ncRNA from 1 species